AACGAACGCUGGCGGCGUGCCUAACACAUGCAAGUCGAACGGGGUUAAGGGGCUUGCUCCUUAACUUAGUGGCGCACGGGUGAGUAACGCGUGGAUAAUCUGCCCGAUGCUCUGGGAUAACAUCUCGAAAGGGGUGCUAAUACCGGAUAAGCCCACGGACUCUUUGGAGUUUGCGGGAAAAGGGGGGGACCUUCGGGCCUCCCGACAUCGGAUGAGUCCGCGUCCCAUUAGCUAGUUGGUGGGGUAAAGGCCUACCAAGGCGACGAUGGGUAGCUGGUCUGAGAGGAUGAUCAGCCACACUGGAACUGAGACACGGUCCAGACUCCUACGGGAGGCAGCAGUGGGGAAUUUUGCGCAAUGGGGGCAACCCUGACGCAGCAACGCCGCGUGAGUGAUGAAGGCCUUUGGGUCGUAAAGCUCUGUCAGAGGGAAAGAAAUGUGGGCGACUAAUAAUUGUUCCACUUGACGGUACCCUCAAAGGAAGCACCGGCUAACUCCGUGCCAGCAGCCGCGGUAAUACGGAGGGUGCGAGCGUUGUUCGGAAUUAUUGGGCGUAAAGCGCGUGUAGGCGGUUUAUUAAGUCUGAUGUGAAAGCCCUGGGCUCAACCUGGGAAGUGCAUUGGAUACUGGUAGACUUGAGUACGGGAGAGGGCAGUGGAAUUCCCAGU
rnacentral:rRNA from 1 species